GUGCUCACUUCAGCAGCACAUAUACUAAAGUUGUAAUGAUACAGAGAAGAUUCACAUGGCCCUUGCACAAGGAUGACACACAGACUCACGAAGCGUUCCAUGUUUUC